UACGUAGGGUGCGAGCGUUAAUCGGAAUUACUGGGCGUAAAGCGUGCGCAGGCGGUUUUGUAAGCCAGAUGUGAAAUCCCCGGGCUCAACCUGGGAACUGCAUCCGAAACUGCCUUGCUAGAGUAUGGGAGAGGGAAGUGGAAUUUCCGGUGUAGCGGUGAAAUGCGUAGAUAUCGGAAGGAACAUCAGUGGCGAAGGCGACUUCCUGGACCAAUACUGACGCUCAGGUGCGAAAGCGUGGGGAGCAAACAGG
rnacentral:rRNA from 1 species